GAUGAACGCUGGCGAUGUGUCUAAGGCAUGCAAGUCGAACGCGUGUAGCAAUACACGAGUGGCAAACGGGAGAGUAACACAUUGGUAACUUACCUUGAAGACGGGAAUAGCCCGGAGAAAUCCGGAGUAAUACCCGAUAGUCAUGGGGGGACACAAGUCAUUCCCAUGUAAAGGCUCUGACGCUUCAAGAGAGACCUAUGUUCUAUCAGCUUGUUGGUAAGGUAACGGCUUACCAAGGCUACGACGGAUAGCGGGUGUGAGAGCAUGACCCGUCUCACUGGGACUGAGAUACUGCCCAGACUCCUACGGGAGGCUGCAGUCAAGAAUAUUCCUCAAUGGCCGAAAGGCUGAAGGAGCGACAUCGCGUGCAGGAGGAAGCCCCUCGGGGUGUAAACUGCUUUUCUCUGGGAAGAAACAAUGACGGUACCAGAGGAAUAAGGGGUUGCUAAACUCGUG
rnacentral:rRNA from 1 species